GACGAACGCUGGCGGCGUGCUUAACACAUGCAAGUCGAACGAAGUGGCGAACGGGUGAGUAACGCGUAAUCAACCUGCCCUUCAGAGGGGGACAACAGUUGGAAAAGACUGCUAAUACCGCAUACUGAUGGCGGGGAUUGCGUCUGAUUAGAGAGUUGGAGGGGUAACGGCCCACCAGGGCGAUGAUCAGUAGCCGGUCUGAGAGAAUGAACGGCCACAUAUGGACAGAGAAACGGCCCAGACUCCUACGGAAGGCAGCAGUGGUGAAUCGUCCGCAAGUGACGAAAGUCUGACGGAGCAACGCCGCGUGAGUGAUGACGGCCUUCGGGUUGUAAAGCUCUGUUAAUCGGGACGCGGUACCGGAAUAGAAAGCCACGGCUAACUACGUGCCAGCAGCCGCGGUAAUAC
rnacentral:rRNA from 1 species